GUGAGAACCAAGUUUGAACGCUCGGAGGAGGCGGAGAGGAAGUCCAGGCUGGUCAUCACUAAGCAGAUGGAUAAAAUUAAAGCCAAACAGAAGAAAAUUGAGGAGCAGCAACAAGCAGGCAGGAAUCCUCAGCCCCCCGAAGGGGCUGAGGGCAUGGCCGCGGCUGGAGGCGCUCCAGGUACAGCAGAGGAUGGCGAGGAAACAAAAU